rnacentral:lncRNA from 1 species
GGGAUCAGUCAGAUGACUGCCUGGCCGCUCCCCCUGAGGGGACUUGGGCUCCUCUUAGCAUUGGCAGGCCGGUAUAAACUUCCGGCUCAGAUGGAGCUAUGCCUGAUGCUGUCUUAAGCCUUAUGAGGUCUCCACGGAACCGCAGAAAUCAGACCACUACUUCUGCAGAACAUUUUACUGGUGAAAAGAACAGCCCACAUGAGGGAAAACUGAUUUGACUUCUGCAGAACAUUUUACUGGUGAAAAGAACAGCCCACAUGAGGGAAAACUGAUUUGGUGGAAAGACAACAAAACAAAACGUGGGAAAUAGGUAAGGUGAUAACAUGGGGGAGAGGUUUUGCUUGUGUUUCACCAGGAGAAAAUCAGCUUCCUGUUUGGAUACCCACUAGACAUUUGAAGUUCUACAAUGAACCCAUCAGAGAUGCAAAUGAAAGUGCCUCCGCAGAGGCAGAAAACCCGCAAUCGAGCAUCAUCGACUCGCAGGGCGAACAAAAUGGUGAUAUCAGAAGAGAUGAAGUUGCCAUCCACCAAGAAAAUGGCACAUGUGGAGAGCCAGGGAGAGGAAGAGAAAGAAAAAGAGACAGAGAUCAGAGACAGACACAGAAAGUGAGACUGGGGAGAGAGAGAGUGUAAAAGAGAGAGAGAGAGACCAUAAGAGAAGGGAGACAAAGAGAUAAAAGGCGCGAGUGAGCAGUCUACAGGUAUAUCCAGCAGCUCCAGAAAGACAGCGACCAGCGAGAAGGGGCCAUGAUGAUGAUGGUGGUUUUGUCAAAACGAAAAGGGAGAUAUGUAGGGAAAAGAAAGAGAGAUCAGACUGUUACUGUGUCUACAUAGAAAGUGAAGACAUAAGAGACUCCAUUUUGAAAAAGACCUGUACUUUAAACAAUUGCUUUGCUGAGAUGUUGUUAAUCUGUAGAUUUGCCGCAGCCACUUUGCCCCAACCACUUCGACCCAACCUGGAGCUCACAAAAGCAUGUGUUGUAUGAAAUCAAGGUUUAAGGGAUGUAGGGCUGUGCAGGACGUGCCUUGUUAACAAAACGUUUGCAAGCAGUUUAUUUGGUAAAAGUCAUCGCCAUUCUCUAGUCUCAAUAAACCAGGGGCACAGUGCCCUGUGGAAAGCCACAGGGACCUCUGCCCUUGAAAGCUGGGUAUUGUCCAAGGUUUCUCCCAAUGUGAUAGUGUGAAAUAGGGCCUCGUGGGAUGAGAAAGACCUGACCGUCCUCCAGCCCAACACCCAUAAAGGGUCUGUGCUGAGGUGGAUUAGUCAAAGAGGAAAGCCUCUUGCAGUUGAGAAAGAUGAAGACCACUGUCUCCUGCCUGCCCCUGGGAACUGAAUGUCUCUAUAUAACACCCAAAUGUACAUUUGUUCAAUUCUGAGAUGGGAGAAACUGCCCUAUGGUGGGAAGCGAGACAUGUUUACGGCAAUGCUGCCUUGUUAUUCUUUACUCCACUGAGAUGUUUGGGUGGAGAGAAACAUAAAUCUGGCUUACGUGCCUGUCCAGUCACAGUACCUUCCCUUGAACUUCAUUAUGACAUAGAUUCUGUUGCUCACAUAUUUGUUGCCGACCUUCUCCUUAUUAUCACCCUGCCCUCCUACUACAUUCCCUUUUGCUGAAAUAAUGAAGAUAAUAAUCAAUAAAAACUGAGGGAACUCAGAGACGGGUCCCACUGCAGGUCCUUGGUAUGCUGAGCGCCGGUUCCCUGGGCUCACUGUUGUUUCUCUAUACUUUGUCUCUGUGUCUUAUUUCUUUUCUGUCUCUCAUCCCACCUGACUAGAAAUACCCACAGGUGUGGACGGGCAGGCCAACCCUUCAGUAUGAGAUUACAGGCAUGAAUAACCCCACCUGGCCACCUAACUCAGUCUUGAGAGGCCAGAAGUGAUGCUGGAACUUUCUUCCUCUGUGGGUUAAAAAGGGAAAAUUAGGGAGAACACAAGGCAUGAGAGAUGCAGCGAUGGAUAUGUCUAUAUGGAGCUUCUGUCUGCAUCCAGUAGAAAAUGCAUUUCUAGGCACCAGGUUUAAGAGCUAAAACCUGGAGUCUUGUCUGUUAGCAUUCUCCUUCCCCACAAACUAGAGAGAGAAUCCAUUUUGCUCCAGCACACCCGAAUUUAGGAAAUGUCGCAUUCCUAUUUCUGUAACUUCAGUUAAAUCUGCUCUGAGUCCUUGGAUGCCUGGCAGGUGGAGAAUGCAAUCUUGUCGUUACCAGCAUUCCUUUCCCUUCUCCAUGGGCUUAUGUAAGAAUUCUGGGCUUACACACUGUUGGAAAGCCAGGUAGGAACUACAUCCCCCGAACUCUCCAUUCUUCCAGCUGCUCAUGAUCCGUCAACAUUCUUUGGGCCAUCUGCUAUAACAAGACCGUCCUCACAGCAUCAUUCCACCGACCCACAGGCUCAGCCCCAGGGACCCUCACUGUAACAGGUCUCCACUAUGCAUAGGAACUCACAAAACCUUCUCUUCAUCUUGGCAUCCUCUGACAUCCAGCCACUCCUCUGCUUCUCACCUUAAACACAGAUGGCAGCUCCUUCCCAUCGUUCCAAACCUGGGGGAUUGUCCAGCCAAAUUCUCUUCAGACACCAAAGCUUCACCCGCCCUCUUCAGGGAGAUGAUGCAAGGACAUCUGAGAUCUUUGGAAGCCCAAUUCUGGCCUCUCUUUGGGGUGGGCUGAGAGUGGGAACUAGACUCUCUUUUCCAAGUGCCAUGUUUAUCUUGUUCAUCAUUAUAUUAUCUCCAAUGCCUGGCACAUAGUAGGCACUACAGACUGACACAUAGUAGGUGAUAUUAGUGUCUGUAUAUUGGCACUCUUGAGGUCGAAGCUAUUAGCAGAAACCUGCCAAGCAAUAGGAUGGAAAACCGACCACCAAAAAAAGAAAAAAAAAAAAAAAAGAAAACAAUCGUGGCUUUGAGCUCUAAACACACAAGGCACCAGCCCAAGUUUGGGCAAUUUUAAUACAACAGCCAUUUUGCCUCCAAACAAACUGGCACUGGAAACCUCCCUCCGCCUCUUAAAGAGAACCAUUUUCUCUUUCUCUAAGUGGGCAGCAUUUCUCCCCGGAGGCAGUACCCAGCCCACUGCCACCAGCAACGGACUGCAUCCAGGAGCCAAGAGCUUGAUAGUUUAAAGAAUAUAUUUUAUAGGGAAAUACAAAGUAACAUCCACAUAAAUCUGGAACUACCACCACUUUCCAGAGGCCAAAUCCCAUUUAUGGAAUCUCUUGCGUGUCAAGCACCUUGCAGUCAGCUCAACUACAUACUUUUGGGAUUUGUUGCAGAGAAGAGUGCAGGUUAUCUGCAAAAUAAAGGAACUAGGGCUCAGAAUUCCCAGAGCAAUCCAUGACAGAGGAGGUGAGUAGAAAAGGGAAGGGUGAAGUCAAAUGAGAGAAGUCAAUGAGUUGGCCAACACCAAGCAAGGAUCAUGGGACCCUCUCCACGGCCCCACAUCUCAAAUGGAAUCAACAAAACCCAUCAAUGCUUGGUGUAAGUGUUGUAUGCUCCUGGAAAUGAAAGCAGGGGCCACAUUUCAGGUCAGUAGGGUCGGGGGUAGAGGCAGCGGUCAUGGACUUGUGGGCCCUGGAGGAUGGGAUGAUUCUGAGACAUUGAAUCCCUACACUGAUCUCAGUAGAAAUCUCAGGUAGGGCUUCAACAUUCGUGGAUCAAGGACUCUGCGGGCCUGAGAGCAACAGCCUUGGUGCAUAUUCCGGCUCCAUCAAUCCCAACUGGGGCUUUGAACAAGUUACUUAUUUUUUUAACUAAUGUUAUUUUAAUUGACAAAUCAUAAUUCUACACAUUUAUGUGAUGUUUUGAUAUGUGUAUACAAUGUGGGAUGAUUAGAUCAAACUAAUAAACAUGUCCAUCCC